AAUCAACGCUGGCGGCGUGCCUCAGACAUGCAAGUCGAACGAGAAGUCCCCUUCGGGGGAUGGAUAGUGGCGCACGGGUGAGUAACACGUGGGUAAUUUACCUUUGGGUGGGGAACAACAGCCGGAAACGGCUGCUAAUACCGCAUAAUGCAGCGGCUCCUCAUGGAGACAGUUGUUAAAGCGGGGGAUCGCAAGACCUCGCGCCUGAAGAGAAGCCCGCGGCAGAUAGCUAGUUGGUAAGGUAAUGGCUUACCAAGGCGACGAUCUGUAACCGGCCUGAGAGGGCGGUCGGUCACACUGACACUGACAUACGGGUCAGACUCCUACGGGAGGCAGCAGUCGGGAAUUUUGGGCAAUGGGCGAAAGCCUGACCCAGCAACGCCGCGUGAA
rnacentral:rRNA from 1 species